rnacentral:piRNA from 1 species
UAGGAAAAGCAGAUGGCACUGUGGCC